rnacentral:ribozyme from 13 species
UUCGAAAAAAAAAAAAAAAAAAAAAAAAAAAAAAAAAA